CCAGACCUUGGAGGAUGAGGUCAGUAGGCAGAGAGGGGCUGAUGGCUAUUCCUAACAAAGAAUGCAACUCCAUCAAAAAAUAUAUGGAAGUCUAAGAUCUGGUUGGGCAAGUAUGAGCAGUGGUGUGGAGCUCAGCACAGGAGACUGAGAGGGGCCAGAAAGCCAUUUUUGAAGCACCUUGAGAGCCAUUGAAACUCCUGAGGCAGCUGUGGCCUUGGGUGCCCUGCAUAAGUGAUCUUUGACAGCUGGUCAUUAAGCUCCUGUUCAUCCUGAAUGCCUCUGGGCAGAUUCCCUCCAUUCAGACCUCCCCCUGUCCAGGAGGCCUGCCUUGGUCACCCUCCUCCCUUCUCCCCACGUGAGAAGAGAAGCUAUUUGGUGAGUAGUUUGUGAAAUCCCUGGAUUGUUCCUUCAUGAUCAAUGAUGUCAUUGGAGUCUGGAAUCAGAUUCACAUCGUGACUGUGCUGCAUCCUGAACCAGUUUUCUUCAGCCUUGGCUGCACAUUGCAAGAUGCGGAAGCUUUAAAACGUAUUCUGGGGCCAGGGAUGUAGCUCAGUGGCCCAAGCACCUGCCUGGCAAGCGCAAGGCUGUGAGUUGGAUUCCUGGUACCAAAAGAAAAAAGUAUUCUGAGCCUGAAGUUCUGGUGUAAUUGGCCUGAGGUGCAGCCUGGGUGCUGUAACUUGAGGUUCUAAUGUACAUCUAAGGUUGAGAAUGAUUGUACUAAAGUAAUUGCUUUGGAAAAGUUA